rnacentral:rRNA from 1 species
UACGUAGGGGGCAAGCGUUGUCCGGAUUUAUUGGGCGUAAAGAGCGUGUAGGCGGCUAGAUAGGUCCGUUGUGAAAACUCGAGGCUCAACCUCGAGACGUCGAUGGAAACCAUCUGGCUAGAGUCAGGAAGAGGAGAGUGGAAUUCCUGGUGUAGCGGUGAAAUGCGCAGAUAUCAGGAAGAACACCCGUGGCGAAGGCGGCUCUCUGGUACGUGACUGACGCUGAGACGCGAAAGCGUGGGGAGCGAACAGG